GGAGAGGUGUCCGAGUGGCUGAAGGAGCACGAUUGGAAAUCGUGUUAGUGGGGCAACCUGCUACGCGGGUUCAAAUCCCGCCCUCUCCGCCA
rnacentral:tRNA from 1 species